GCGGUUUUAGCAGGAGGGAAAUAUUUGUAGAGAAAUUUUUGGGCAAGUUCAUCCUAAGUGUGCACGGACCCACUUGAGAGGGUGUUUAGCCAAGGUUUUGCUUGGUCUUUAAGGGAAAAAGGGAACAUACGGAGCUGGAUAGCAUCGUUGGAGGCUCCGUUGAUCCGGAAUGGGUCACGUAUUUCCAAAAAAUUGGUAAUAUGUAAAUGGUGAUCUUCAUCGGGUAGGCCAUUAAAGGUCGCGAAAUUUUGGAGCAUUUGGAUUAGGAGUGGUCGAAGCUCAAAGUUAUUAGCAUCGACAUUUGGAGGGUUAAUAGCGGCUCCAAGAUUACCGACCAUAUGUCGUAGGUACUCCAUGAGUGUUCGUUGAUCCGCCAUGGGGAGGUUCGUCGAGGGGCACUUUUAUGUCUUUGUCGAAGGUGGAGGUCAUGCACCAGGUUGUAUUUCCUGUGAAUUAGACAGAGUUGCGUGACUUUCUGCG
rnacentral:lncRNA from 1 species